rnacentral:rRNA from 1 species
UCUAGGGGCGGCAGCAGUGGGGAAUAUUGGACAAUGGGCGAAAGCCUGAUCCAGCCAUGCCGCGUGUGUGAAGAAGGCCUUCGGGUUGUAAAGCACUUUCAGUGGGGAAGAAAGCCUUGGGGCUAAUACCCUCGAGGAAGGACAUCACCCACAGAAGAAGCACCGGCUAACUCCGUGCCAGCAGCCGCGGUAAUACGGAGGGUGCGAGCGUUAAUCGGAAUUACUGGGCGUAAAGCGCGCGUAGGCGGUCUGAUAAGCCGGUUGUGAAAGCCCCGGGCUCAACCUGGGAACGGCAUCCGGAACUGUCAGGCUAGAGUGCAGGAGAGGAAGGUAGAAUUCCCGGUGUAGCGGUGAAAUGCGUAGAGAUCGGGAGGAAUACCAGUGGCGAAGGCGGCCUUCUGGACUGACACUGACGCUGAGGUGCGAAAGCGUGGGUAGCAAACAGGAUUAGAUACCCGUGUAGUC